CUCCAGUUGGAUGCAUGUCCUUCUGGGAAAGAUUCUAUCGGUAUGGGAUGGGGUCGCGUCCUAUCAGCUUGAUGGCGGGGUAACGGCCCACCAUGGCUUCGACGGGUAGCCGGCCUGAGAGGGCGACCGGCCACAUUGGGACUGAGAUACGGCCCAGACUCCUACGGGAGGCAGCAGUGGGGAAUAUUGCACAAUGGGCGCAAGCCUGAUGCAGCGACGCCGCGUGCGGGAUGACGGCCUUCGGGUUGUAAACCGCUUUUGACUGGGAGCAAGCCCUUCGGGGUGAGUGUACCUUUCGAAUAAGCACCGGCUAACUACGUGCCAGCAGCCGCGGUAAUACGUAGGGUGCAAGCGUUAUCCGGAAUUAUUGGGCGUAAAGGGCUCGUAGGCGGUUCGUCGCGUCCGGUGUGAAAGUCCAUCGCUUAACGGUGGAUCCGCGCCGGGUACGGGCGGG
rnacentral:rRNA from 1 species